rnacentral:rRNA from 1 species
UACGUAGGGUGCGAGCGUUAAUCGGAAUUACUGGGCGUAAAGCGUGCGCAGGCGGUUUGUUAAGACAGGCGUGAAAUCCCCGGGCUCAACCUGGGAACUGCGUUUGUGACUGUAUGACUAGAGUACGGUAGAGAGGGGUGGAAUUCCUGGUGUAGCAGUGAAAUGCGUAGAUAUCAGGAGGAACAUCGAUGGCGAAGGCAGCCCCUUGGACCUGUACUGACGCUCAUGCACGAAAGCGUGGGGAGCAAACAGG